rnacentral:rRNA from 1 species
CGGGACGGGUGAGUAACGCGUGGGCAACCUGCCCUGUACAGGGGGAUAACACUUAGAAAUAGGUGCUAAUACCGCAUGAGCGCACAAAGGCGCAUGCCUAUGUGCGGGAAGCCCGCGAGGGCGGUACGGGAUGGGCCCGCGUCUGAUUAGCCAGUUGGCAGGGUAACGGCCUACCAAAGCGACGAUCAGUAGCCGGCCUGAGAGGGUGGACGGCCACAUUGGGACUGAGACACGGCCCAAACUCCUACGGAAGGCAGCAG